AUACGGAGGAUGCGAGCGUUAUCCGGAUUUAUUGGGUUUAAAGGGAGCGUAGGUGGGAUAUUAAGUCAGCUGUGAAAGUUUGGGGCUCAACCUUAAAAUUGCAGUUGAUACUGGUUUCCUUGAGUACGGUACAGGUGGGCGGAAUUCGUUGUGUAGCGGUGAAAUGCAUAGAUAUGACGAAGAACACCGAUUGCGUAGGCAGCUGACCAGACCGCAAAUGACGCUCAUGCACGAAAGUGCGGGGAUCGAACAGGAUUAGAUACCCUGGUAGUCCGCACAGUAAACGAUGAAUACUUGUUUUCGGCGAUAUAAUGUCGGAGGCAAAGCGAAAGCGAUAAGUAUUCCACCUGGGGAGUACGCCGGCAACGGUGAAACUCAAAUGAAUUGACGGGG
rnacentral:rRNA from 1 species